rnacentral:tRNA from 1 species
GCCUUCGUGGUUGUAGUGGUUAGCACGCUCGAUGCGUAACCAAGAGGUCCGUGGUUCGAUUCCCGGCGAAGGCG